rnacentral:rRNA from 1 species
AUAAAUAACAAUCCAGGGCUUAGGUCUUGGAAUUGGAAUGAGAACAAUUUAAAUCCCUUAACGAGGAACAAUUGGAGGGCAAGUCUGGUGCCAGCAGCCGCGGUAAUUCCAGCUCUAGUAGCGUAUAUUAAAGUUGUUGCAGUUAAAAAGCUCGUAGUUGAUUGUGAAGUGACUGGUGGGUGGUGCACUUAGCAGUGCCACUGCUUGCUGUUGCUUGAUAUGGAGUUGACACUGGUGAUCUUUACUGGUUGCCAGUGGGUGGCUCAGCGUUUACUGUGAAAAAAUUAGAGUGUUUAAAGCAGGCAUGACAGGCUUGAAUACAUUAGCAUGGAAUAACUGAAUAGGCUCUGAGAGCUAUUUUGUUGGUUUUGGGUGGCUCAGAGAAUGAUUAAGAGGAACAGUUGGGGGCAUUAGUAUUUGAUGGCUAGAGGUGAAAUUCUUGGAUUUAUCAAAGACUAACUACUGCGAAAGCAUUUGCCAAGGAUGUUUUCAUUAAUCAAGAACGAAAGUUAGGGGAUCGAAGACGAUUAGAUACCGUCGUAGUCUUAACCAUAAACUAUGUCGACUCAGAGUUGUUGCUCAGUCUAUUGUGCUGGCAGCAGUGCUGUGUGGGAAACCAAAGUGUUUGGAUUCUGGGGGGAGUACAGUUGCAAGGCUGAAACUUAAAGGAAUUGACGGAAGGGCACCACCAGGAGUGGAUUAUGCGGCUUAAUUUGACUCAACACGGGGCAACUUACCAGGUCAGAACAUAGUGAGGAUUGACAGAUUGAGAGCUCUUUCUUGAUUCUAUGGGUGGUGGUGCAUGGCUGUUCUUAGUUGGUGGAGUGAUUUGUCUGGUUAAUUCCGAUAACGAACGAGACCUUAACCUGCUAACUAGAGCAUGGAAGUGUUUGCUUCCAGUGUGAGCUCUUCUUAGAGGGACUGUUGAUGUCUAAUCAACGGAGGUUUGAGGCAAUAACAGGUCUGUGAUGCCCUUAGAUGUUCUGGGCCGCACGCGUGAUACACUGAAGCAGUCAGCGAGUUUUAGCCUUGUCUGAGAGGACUGGGUAAUCUUGUGAAACUGUUUCGUGCAGGGGAUAGACCCUUGUAAUUAUUGGUCUUGAACGAGGAAUUCCUAGUAAGCACAAGUCAUAAGCUUGUGUUGAUUAUGUCCCUGCCCUUUGUACACACCGCCCGUCGCUAGUACCGAUUGAAUGGCUUAGUGAGGC